rnacentral:misc_RNA from 1 species
AGAUGAAGAACGCAGCGAAAUGCGAUAAGUAAUGUGAAUUGCAGAAUUCAGUGAAUCAUCGAAUCUUUGAACGCACAUUGCGCCCGCCAGUAUUCUGGCGGGCAUGCCUGUUCGAGCGUCAUUUCAACCAUCAAGCCCCCGGCUUGCGUUGGGGACCUGCGGCUGCCGCAGGCCCUGAAAAGCAGUGGCGGGCUCGCUGUCACACCGAGCGUAGUAGCAUACAUCUCGCUCUGGGCGUGCUGCGGGUUCCGGCCGUUAAACCACCUUCAUAACCCAAGGUUGACCUCGGAUCAGGUAGGAAGACCCGCUGAACUUAAGCAUAUCAAUAAGCGGAGGA